rnacentral:tRNA from 1 species
GCGGGAAUAGCUCAGUGGGUAGAGCACAACCUUGCCAAGGUUGGGGUCGCCUCAGAGUUAAAGAGUGAGUCUCGUUUCCCGCUCCG